rfam:Dipodomys ordii contig_64800, whole genome shotgun sequence.
GGUGGCUCAGUGUUAGAGUGCUUGCCUUGCAUGCAUGAGGCCCUGGGUUCGAUUCCUCAGUACCA